UACAGAGGGUGCAAGCGUUGUCCGGAAUGAUUGGGCGUAAAGCAUCUGUAGGUGGUUUCUAAAGUCAACUGUUAAAUCCCAGAGCUCAACUUUGGCCAAGCAGUUGAGUACUUAGAGACUUGAGUACGGUAGGGGUAGAGGGAAUUCCUUGUUUAGCGGUGAAAUGCAUAGAGAUAAGGAAGAACACCAGUGGCGAAAGCGCUCUACUGGGCCGUAACUGACACUGAGAGAUGAAAGUUAGGGGAGCGAAAAGG
rnacentral:rRNA from 1 species